rfam:Hordeum vulgare subsp. vulgare, WGS project CAJW01000000 data, contig: morex_contig_53082
AUUAUACUUCCUCCGUCCCAAAUUACAUGUCGUAUAAAUGGAUAAAAAUGAAUGUAUCUAAAACUAAAAUACAUCUAGAUACAUUUAUUUUUAUGACAAAUAUUUUCGGACGGAGGGAGUAUUUA